UACGAAGGGGGCUAGCGUUGCUCGGAAUUACUGGGCGUAAAGAGCGCGCAGGCGGUCGUUCAAGUCGAGUGUGAAAGCCCCCGGCUCAACUGGGGAGGGUCAUUCGAUACUGAUCGACUCGAAGGCAGGAGAGGGAAGUGGAAUUCCCGGUGUAGUGGUGAAAUGCGUAGAUAUCGGGAGGAACACCAGUGGCGAAGGCGACUUCCUGGCCUGUUCUUGACGCUGAGGCGCGAAAGCUAGGGGAGCAAACGGG
rnacentral:rRNA from 1 species